rnacentral:rRNA from 2 species
UGCCUAACACAUGCAAGUCGAACGAACUCUGGUAUUGAUUGGUGCUUGCAUCAUGAUUUACAUUUGAGUGAGUGGCGAACUGGUGAGUAACACGUGGGAAACCUGCCCAGAAGCGGGGGAUAACACCUGGAAACAGAUGCUAAUACCGCAUAACAACUUGGACCGCAUGGUCCGAGUUUGAAAGAUGGCUUCGGCUAUCACUUUUGGAUGGUCCCGCGGCGUAUUAGCUAGAUGGUGGGGUAACGGCUCACCAUGGCAAUGAUACGUAGCCGACCUGAGAGGGUAAUCGGCCACAUUGGGACUGAGACACGGCCCAAACUCCUACGGGAGGCAGCAGUAGGGAAUCUUCCACAAUGGACGAAAGUCUGAUGGAGCAACGCCGCGUGAGUGAAGAAGGGUUUCGGCUCGUAAAACUCUGUUGUUAAAGAAGAACAUAUCUGAGAGUAACUGUUCAGGUAUUGACGGUAUUUAACCAGAAAGCCACGGCUAACUACGUGCCAGCAGCCGCGGUAAUAC